GACGUAUUGGUAACAUGUAGUCUUUAUGCCUAGAUUGUUUCUAUUUUCAAGUUAUUCAAGAUAUUUUGUUUAUGCCCAGAUAUGUUUGUUAUUGGAUUUUUCAUAAUACAAAAUAUUUUAAAUGAUAUAGUACUAGUAAGGAUUUACAAACCUGAGUAAGCAUAGAGAAGACAGCGGCCAUGCCAACUUGGCCUACGCCCACCACCGUCACCUUGCUGCCCGUGUCGUCAGUCCUCCCCUGGAUUGGCUGGAAUAACUGGUCUACGGUUGCCAUUUUACCUAUAACAAGCGUUAAUAGUGUUAGUCGAACAUACACGGGCUUUUUAAUGACCAUGUAAUUUUAAAUAUAGUACAUUUAAAAAUUUAAAUUUAGUAAAUAAAUACAUAUAAUGUUAACAGAGAUUAAAAAGAGUAACUGUUGAGUUUCUUGCGGACUUUUCUCAACAGAUAACAAGUUUCCGGAUCCUGCAGCAGAUUAAAAAAAAACUACAAUUUAAAAGUGCUUGUAAAGAAUUUUAUUUAAAUAAAGAUGAUUUGAAUUUGAA